UACAGAGGUCUCAAGCGUUGUUCGGAUUCAUUGGGCGUAAAGGGUGUGUAGGCGGUCAGCACAAGUCAGUUGUGAAAUCUCCGGGCUUAACUCGGAAAGGUCAACUGAUACUGUGCGACUAGAGUGCGGAAGGGGCAACUGGAAUUCUCGGUGUAGCGGUGAAAUGCGUAGAUAUCGAGAGGAACACCUGCGGCGAAGGCGGGUUGCUGGGCCGACACUGACGCUGAUGCGCGAAAGCCAGGGGAGCGAACGGG
rnacentral:rRNA from 1 species